CUCUCCCUGCAGCCCGUGGACCCUGAUGUAGAACUCUUCAUUACUUCUCUAGCACCAUGCCACCAUGCUGAUAAUGGACUAAACCUCUAAACUAUCUGUAAAAGAGGAUUCAUGUACCAACGUACAUUUGUAGGGCUCUGUCGCGUCUGCUCUAGACCAGCAAGAACGACACAACACAGUCGGAUUCUUCUCAACAGCCUUUAUUGCAGGAAUGCCUCGAUGCUUCUACGGAGACCCCGGGCGCCCAGGGAGCCCUGCUUACAUGCACCCCAGCACAGGAGAAGGCUCCAUGGCCCCCUGGGAUUGGUCAGUCUGGUGGCACCCAAUUUGCAUGCACCCUCUUGGGAGGGGUUGGCGCCAAAUUCGAAUUGACGCCUGUGCAGUGGUGUUGUUUAUGACAACGGCAAUCGGAAACUGGCGCCAUCUUGGAGUUGGCUUCCCACAGGGUUCAGAGGACAAUCUGCAGGAGUCCAUUCUCUGUCUACCAUGUGGAUCCCAUGGAUUGAGCUCAGGUUGUCAGGUUGCCACUCAGUCACCAGGAAGUGAAAGGAGUAGAAGAAUUAGGAGGCGUGGCCUUGUUGGAGUAAGUGUGCCCCUGGAGGGAGCUUUGGGGUUUCUAAAGCCCCUGCCAGACCCAGUCUCUCUCUUGACCAGGAUAUACAUCUCAGCUACUUCUCCAGCCUACUUGCCAUGUUCACUGCCAUGAUGGUCUAAGCCUCUGAAGCUGAAAGCAAGCCCCCAGUUAAAUGCUUUUCUUUAUAAGAACUGUCAUGGGCAUUGUGUCCCUUCAUAGCAAUAGAACACUGACUAUAAUAAGAUACUUCUGGUAGAAAUAUAAAUUAAUAUAGUCACUAUAGAAAUCAAUAUAAAAAUUCUCACAGCUAUACCAUCCCUGGGUACUCACAGCUCAAAGACCACACUAAUAGAUGGUUUCAUGUCAAAAUGCUGACCAUUUUUCAAGGAAGUUGUGUCUACCUGACCUGGCACUGAAGAUGUGCACUGACUCUGCUCUUAACUCCCUGGCCAGCCAGCUACCCUUCUAUUGUAUUGUCUUCCUAUAAUAUAAAGACUGUUAAGCUUAUGUGUUUACUAUGGUGCCUGUUCCAACUGCGAAAGGUGGAAAGAAACCAACUAAGUGUCCCCCAGUGGAUGCAUUCUGCAUCUUAUCUCUGGAAUGUAGAUACUCCUUAACAGCCUUGGGUGUCAGGCUGGGCUCAGCAUGUAACUCAUGUCCUUGGAAGUCUUGGGAGUCAGGAAGAGAUAAGGAAGAGGGGACUAUAAUUCAUCUUUUUACAGCCUCAGGUGCUAGCAGGGGAAUAGGGAGGAGGGGGUGAUGACCGGGUCCUUAGCACAAGGCCGUUUGGCUUGUUAGGGUGGGAAGCUGUGAAAGGCUUGCUUUCUCAUGGCAUGGUCUCCGACACAUGGCUGUUCCUAUGUAAGAUAGAGGAGAAAGUUUAUUAUAGAUAUGUAGGAGGCAUAGCCAGAGGCAGACACAUCUUGGAGAGUCCAGAGUGGUCAUGACCCAGAGCCAUGUCGGAGGGGAAGGGAGAGAGGAGAGCCAAGUACAACACCUAAAGGCAUAGCAGAAUUUUAGUAGAACCUUUGUAUCUGGCAUGAAUCUGUCAUGAUGGCACCUAAGCUUUGAAGAAGCCUUUUGUUAGUGAUUGCUAUCAGCUCCUCUUCUUCUUCUGGCCAGCCAACCUACUAAAACUACCAUGUUAUUUCCUUUACUAGAUUCUCUGGUAGAUCCCCAAGUCUGGGAUGUUACUAAACACCAUUCUCCUGUUGUCAUCCAAUUACUGGACUCUAUCAGAUACAUAUGCUAGGAUCACGGACCAAUCAUUUCUUCUAUCAACAUCGCAAGACAUUCUUUUUCUACAUACAAGACCAUGGGAUUCCAGGUGGGAGACAGGAGGUGUUGGUAAGCUCUACUGUAAAAAUCAGCCCAGUUCCCCAGUAAGUACCAUCCCUAUCCAGAGAAAAUAUGUCUCAAUUGCCCAAUCCCUAGAUAUUGGAAAAGUAGGGGAGAUAAUCAAACCCUCCUCUGAGGUCCUUACCUCUGUGACAUCACCCCUCAUCAAUGCCACCACCUUGUCAUUUCUCCUUUUGCUUUAGACUUUGUCCUCGGCAUACCAACUCCUUAAUGUCACCAGGCCUGGAUGCUUUAAAGAUUGCUGGCUAUGCGUACCUCCUGGAACUAACUCGCAAUUGUCACUUACAGCAUCUCUGGUGAUAUUGCCAAGUAACCUUACCUCAUCCUUUGUCAGCUGCCCUGACUCUAAUGUUGCCAUGACUCCAUACCUUACCUCUAUCCCUUUCUUUGGUGUAGCAAACUGUUUUAAGACCUCCGGGACUCAUUCUGUAGGAACACUGAGCUCCCUGGAAUGCAAUAGAACCAUAACCCUCGAUACAUCAUCUCUGCCACAAUGCCCCGCAGACCAGAACACGUCAAUUCUCUGUGGCACUCAGAAACAGAUCGAUUCUUUGGUGGCCGUGGUGCUUCAGAACCGAUGCGGGCUAGAUGUCCUGACAGCUAAUGAAGCUCCUGUCACAGGAUUACCAGUCGCUGCCCACAGAAGAGCUGCUGUCCACAGAGGAACCUGAUGCGAACGUUUACCAAGUAGAUCCCAAUGGUGAAAGUCAGCUACCCUCCAAAAUUGAUGACUCCCCUAGACAGUAGGUCGUAACUUAAGAGACACACCCUUGUUCCCUUUUCACCAUCAGCUUCCCCCUCCCUUUUUCUUUCCUUCUCUUUAUAACAAGAAGGGAGGUAUGCUGGCAUCAGGAUCUCUCAAACCUAUGACAUCACAUAGCCGACAGAGCGACCUACAGACCUUUUGCCAAGACAACGGGCACCAUAUUUCCAGAAUCCACUUGAUUCACCUCCCACCUUUACCUGUGUUACAUCGUUUUCUAUAUAAAUAAGGGGAAUGCCCCUUCCCCCUUCUUUUCCCCCUUCUCUUUCUGUUACCACCCCCAUACAC